rnacentral:rRNA from 1 species
UACAGACUCCUACGGGAGGCAGCAGUGAGGAAUAUUGGUCAAUGGCCGAGAGGCUGAACCAGCCAAGUCGCGUGAGGGAAGACGGCCCUACGGGUUGUAAACCUCUUUUGUCGGGGAGCAAAAGACGCCACGCGUGGCGUUCCGAGAGUACCCGAAGAAAAAGCAUCGGCUAACUCCGUGCCAGCAGCCGCGGUAAUACGGAGGAUGCGAGCGUUAUCCGGAUUUAUUGGGUUUAAAGGGUGCGCAGGCGGAGGUGCAAGUCAGCGGUCAAAUUGCGGGGCUCAACCCCGUACUGCCGUUGAAACUGCAUCCCUUGAGUGCGCGAGAAGUAUGCGGAAUGCGUGGUGUAGCGGUGAAAUGCAUAGAUAUCACGCAGAACUCCGAUUGCGAAGGCAGCAUACCGGCGCGCAACUGACGCUCAUGCACGAAAGUGUGGGUAUCGAACAGGAUUAGAUACCCUCGUAGG